AUUCUGGUUGAUCCUGACAGUAGUUAUAUGCUUGUCUCAACGAUUAAGCCAUGCAUGUCUAAGUUUUAGACGAAUUAAAAGUGAAACCGCAAAAGGCUCAUUAUAUCAGUUAUGGUUCCUUAGAUCGUUAACAGUUACUUGGAUAACUGUGGUAAAUCUAGAGCUAAGACAUGCAAUUAAAACACGGACCUUCUGGGACGUGUGCUUUUAUUAGACUAAAACCAAGCGAUCAACCAAUCGUUAUAUUGGUUGAACUCUAGAUAACAUGCAGAUCGUAUGGUCUUGUACCGAC
rnacentral:ncRNA from 1 species